UUAUGGAGUGAGCAGAGUGUUGCCUCACUCGUGGAAUAUCUGAGAGGGAACAUUUUGCGAAGUAGAGGAUGACCAACCUAAAGUCUUGUAGAACUACAAAUUGCUCCUAUAUGUAUUUGCAGAAUGCAUGGAACCUGCUGGACUCACCGUGGUUCUGACUGCAGCGACCAGGACCUCGCCUGACUUUGUCAACAGGGGCAUUAUAAUUCGGUGACUGGUUCGCAGCUUCAGGCUUUUUGGAACACACCAAAGAAAGGUCUGUGAUCACCAGCGUUUCUGAACUGAUCAAUGUCUUCCUGCUUCCUGGAGGCAGCAUGGUGUAGCUGCUGUUCAGAAGUUCUGCCCCAUCCGCCUUUGUUGAUUUACCUACGGCACUCUUCACACUGUUCAUCCAAGAUGGAUGGAGGGAUAUCCAACAAAAGCUUGAAAACGCUGAUCCAGCACUUAUGUAUGAUGUCAUGUGAUGUUUGUCUUUGCGAACCUGCCGUCAUCAUAGUUCAUCUACAUAUAGCAACAGAAAAAUAUGAAGGUUCCUCUAUGGCAAACAUUAUCGACUCAGAUCUACACUAAGGGCUCAGUUCGGCAAGGCAUAAGGAGAAUGUCCACGGCUGCUGUUUAAGCUCGACGUCUGUUGGUCGUGUGAGAAACCAAAAGCCUUUGGAUCAGGGGCCCCUGACUUAAACAUACCAACCCAUAGGUCGGACACCAUAUGGAACUUCAGAUACUAUAUAGUAGCUUUAGCUUUAAGUAGCAAUAUUCAUAUUUCUGUUUAAUGGCCAUAGAGGCUUAGACCCAGAGUUGCUAAUAUGGGCAUAAAUAAUAGUGCAUCAUUUAUCGAGUAUGGAUGUGACUGAAUCCAAAAUGACUGUUUCUUAGCAAUAUUUUGCACCGUUGGGGAGCAGGAGCCGUUAUUUAAAUUCCAACAAAGUGCACUAUGUAGUGAGCUGAGAGCCAUUUGCGAUUCUGCCUCAGCACCUGAAGAGGGCGCUGCUGAGUUGGAUCUAAAUAAGACUCGGUGUUAAUUUGGUGACCAAAAAGUGCUUAGAAAGCGACGUUUUGCCUUUGACAGUACUGUGUUAUCAUAUGUUCAUUCUUACACGACAAAAACCUUAAAAAAAAUCAUAAAAUGACCGCGAUAUAGUUACAGCAAUGGCCGUCCAAACAUGCUCCUCAUUCAGCGGUCCAUGGUUGCUUGGCAACGAUAACUACCACACUCAUAAGGAAGGGCAUUUCAUGGGGAAUACAAGUUGUGCUUAAGGCGAUUAUUAUUAACAGUAAUUUAAAUUAUUUGCUGAAACGUGAUGUGUUUGAUCAUAUUUCAUGUUGGCCGCCGUUUUAUAGAAGCAAUAAGCCAGCUGAGGCUGUGCAUUACUGCGGUUUAAUCACUGUUCCCGUGAUAAAAUGGCGGUAACCCACGGCCUCUCGGGGCUUACGGCUUUAAUAUGGGCUACCAGAGGGUCCUGUUAACAGUAAACAUGGCAUUAGUUAAUAUUCGUAGUGCUUGACUGCAUCAUUAAGAAGCCCACCUGGCCAUGUUUGGUAGGUAGGCCAGAGAACUUGUAGAGAGGAGAAUUCAUAGUGUUUGUUUAUAUCGUUAAAAAGACCACGUCGCCAUUUCGGAAGACAAGCUGUGACCCUGACUGUGCUGACAGAGCUCGUCUCAUCACCCCUGCGAGUGGAUAAAAACGGAGCAAAAUAGACCAGAAUGACCACAAAAAAUGAUGUAAAGGCAUGUAGACUCUAGAUGCGUCUCUAGAAAACAGUACGAGAAGAUUAGCCAGACUGGUGGACUGGAUCCAGCCUGCACGUCUCCAGAGCUCAGAACAUUGGAGUGCAUGAUAUUUUAUAAAAAACCCAGUAAAUGUGGCUACCAAAGCUGCCAAAGCUAUUAAAUAAUAAACUCAUACAUAUACAUCAAGCUCAGGUCAGCGUACCUCAAUAAAUGCAUUAAUUUACCUCAAGAAAUGAUUUUUAACUAAUAAAGACCUCAAACGUUUACUGAGCAGCUCAUGUGCAGCACAGCAAAGCUAUAACCAGCCACUAGGUCUGAUCACGUCUCACUGGCUGGUCUAACAGCCAUUUCAAACCACACACUUCUGUAUCACCCGCUACACCAGGGAGUGCACUCCUAUAUACAGUACUUUUGCACAAAUCAAUCAAUCAAUCAUCCUUUAUUUAAACUCUGGAUACAUUGAGGGAGACCCUGAUUUACAGUGUAGCCGAGUAAUGCAGGAACCAGGGAUUGAGAAGUUGUACAGAAAAAAAAAAUUAAUGCUACAAUUAAAAAAUAAAAACCAUAAGUAAAAUUGAAUAAUAUGAAGGUACCAAUAAAUGGUUAAGUAAAUAAACGAUUAAAUUACAAUACAGCAACUUACUAAGUAACAGAGCACCUACACACUCACACCUUCUAAGCCGCUUCUCCUUCUGGGU